GACGAACGCUGGCGGCGUGCCUAAUACAUGCAAGUUGAGCGCUGAAGGUUGGUACUUGUACCAACUGGAUGAGCAGCGAACGGGUGAGUAACGCGUGGGGAAUCUGCCUUUGAGCGGGGGACAACAUUUGGAAACGAAUGCUAAUACCGCAUAAAAACUUUAAACACAAGUUUUAAGUUUGAAAGAUGCAAUUGCAUCACUCAAAGAUGAUCCCGCGUUGUAUUAGCUAGUUGGUGAGGUAAAGGCUCACCAAGGCGAUGAUACAUAGCCGACCUGAGAGGGUGAUCGGCCACAUUGAGACUGAGACACGGCCCAAACGCCUACGGGAGGCAGCAGUAGGGAAUCUUCGGCAAUGGACGAAAGUCUGACCGAGCAACGCCGCGUGAGUGAAGAAGGUUUUCGGAUCGUAAAACUCUGUUGGUAGAGAAGAACGUUGGUGAGAGUGGAAAGCUCAUCAAGUGACGGUAACUACCCAGAAAGGGACGGCUAACUACGUG
rnacentral:rRNA from 1 species